rnacentral:lncRNA from 1 species
UUUCUCUCUUGUAAUUGUUUGGAUUUAUUUUUUUAGUUUCGCAGACAACUUGGUGUAUGGAGCUCUAUAUUGUUGUUAGUUGCCUCUUUAACUUUUAUAAGGAAAAUUGGCAGUUGGUUAGGAAUGUAGCAUUGGUCUUCGUUCUCCUUUCUUAGUUUUCUUUUUUUCUCCUCCUUCCUCACUACUCUUGUUAGUAGUUAUUUGGUGGGUAGCGAAAGUGUAGCAUAAGGAGUGGUUUGGGUCUGUUCAUGUAGCUGCGUUGGUUGCUUGGGCUGUUAUACAAAUAAUUGGUUGGACAGUAGGUGUUUACCAACUAAGGGCCUAUUUGGUUCCAUGUAGUUGAACCUAUUGCAAUUUAGACUUGGCAUUGGUCAAACCAGGAUGGUUUCAGAGGAGGCCAAAACUCGAUAUUAAGGGCCUAGACGACUUUACCUCUGGCUGUCUUCAGCCUGAGCAUGGCUCGCCCAUUGAAACCUAAAACCUGAAUGAACCUGGUUCGACCGGGCGGACAUAGUAGUUGAACCUAUUGCAAUUUAGACUUGGGAUUGGUCAAACCUGGAUGGUUUCAGAGGAGGCCAAAACUCGAUAUUAAAGGCCUAGAUGACUUUACCUCUGGCUGUCUUCAGCCUGNNNNNNNNNNNNNNNNNNNNCCUGAAUGAACCUGGUUCGACCGAGUCGGGCAUAGUGGUUGAACCUAUUGCAAUUUAGACUCGGCAUUGGUCAAACCUGGAUGGUUUCAGAGGAGGCCAAAACUCGAUAUUAAGGGCCUAGACGACUUUACCUCUGGCUGCCUUCAGCAUUGAAACCUAAAACCUGGAUAAACUUGGUUUGACCAAGCGGACAUAGUAGUCAGGCAUCUGAAUAUCCCCCUUAUGAAAAAGUGAUAUGCUGCACCAAGCAGGCAUUGGACUCUGAUAUUGGUUGACAUCUUAUCAUCGAAAAAAAAGAAAAAGAAAAAAGAUAUUGGUUGACAUCUGAAAAUUGGAUAUGUUAUUGAGUAGCUAUUUCUUUUCUUAGGGUCUCCAGUAGGAGUCCUUUUCUUGUUUGUCGGAAAUGAUCUUGUUUGUCCUGUUCUUUUGUGGAGGUAAGGUUUUAUGUCCCUCUCUUAUGGGCUGUUUGGAUUCUGGUCUUUGUACCAUGAAUAAUUGGUUCAAAGAUGGGUUACAAUGGUUGAAAACAGGCACAGAAGAGAUAUUCCAAAAUUAUCAGGAUUCUAGAUAUUGAGGGGCUCACCAAACUUUCCAGCUUCUCUUUUCCUAACAGAAACUCUAAUCAGAUGAUGAGUUUCACGUGACCAAGUAGCUCAUGCACCCUUACUCGUCCUCACUGUAUCUUUCUUUAUAUCUGAAUAUUUAGUACUCACAUGACAAGAAAUGUCAGCUUUGGUUUUCUUCCAUUGAAUCUUGAACGUUGAUGCAUGCCAUGAUGAUAUUGAGUAUGCACAAGGUAUUUAAUCGCUCUCGUAGUGUAACAUUGCUUUCUUAGUUCUAGAUUUUGUUAUACAAUCUAUUCUU